AGUGAACGCUGGCGGUAGGCCUAACACAUGCAAGUCGAACGGCAGCACAGUAAGAGCUUGCUCUUACGGGUGGCGAGUGGCGGACGGGUGAGGAAUACAUCGGAAUCUACUUUUUCGUGGGGGAUAACGUAGGGAAACUUACGCUAAUACCGAAUACGACCUACGGGUGAAAGCAGGGGAUCUUCGGACCUUGCGCGAUUGAAUGAGCCGAUGUCGGAUUAGCUAGUUGGCGGGGGAAAGGCCCACCAAGGCGACGAUCCGUAGCUGGUCUGAGAGGAUGAUGAGCCACACUGGAACUGAGACACGUGCCAGACUCCUACGGGAGGCAGCAGUGGGUAAUAUUGGACAGUGGGCGCAAGCCUGCUCCAGCCAUACCGCGUGGGUGAAGAAGGCCUUCGGGUUGUGAAGCCAUUUUGUUGGGAGAGAAUAUCAGCAUGCUAAUACCCCGUUUUUCUGACGGUACCCAAGCAAUAACCACCGCCUAACUUCGUG
rnacentral:rRNA from 1 species